CUCCUUGACGUUAGCGGCGGACGGGUGAGUAACACGUGGGUAACCUACCUAUAAGACUGGGAUAACUUCGGGAAACCGGAGCUAAUACCGGAUAAUAUUUCGAACCGCAUGGUUCGAUAGUGAAAGGUGGUUUUGCUAUCACUUAUAGAUGGACCCGCGCCGUAUUAGCUAGUUGGUAAGGUAACGGCUUACCAAGGCGACGAUACGUAGCCGACCUGAGAGGGUGAUCGGCCACACUGGAACUGAGACACGGUCCAGACUCCUACGGGAGGCAGCAGUC
rnacentral:rRNA from 1 species